rnacentral:lncRNA from 1 species
UAUGAUUCCUCUGAUUCUACUUUUAUUGUAUAAAUUCAAGGGCCUUUGAACUUGAUCUUGAAUUUGAAUUCGAUUUAUCCGUUGCGAACACUUCCAUCGUUGCCAUGAAUUUUAUCACGAACAAGUAGCCUUGAUAUUGAACUCCUUGUAUUUGAUUUGAUUUCGUUCUUGAUCUUGAAUAUUUGAAUUUUUCUUCAUUCUUGAGCUUGAACUUGAUUUCUUGAACUUUGAACUUGAACUUGACCUUGAAGCUUGAAACUUGAGGAGGAAUUUGCAGUGUUUGAUCCAUGAGCUCUCUCUUGCUUCUUG